rnacentral:lncRNA from 10 species
CUGAGGCCUCCCCGCAAAGGUCCCCGAGGCGGCGGCGGCGGCGGGCUGUGAGAACCGCAGAAGAACGCUGGGCGCGCAGCGACCCGUCCACCCCCGCGAGGAGAGACUUCCACAGAGGCAGCGUUUCCACAGCCCAAAGCCACGUUUCUAGGGUGAUGCAGCCCCAGUAAGUUCCUGGCGGGGAAGCUCACGGCUGUCAAAAGAACUCUUCGCUCCAGCCGGCGCACGAAGGGGAGGAGGGCAGGAGGCUGCCGCCCGCACAGGUCAUCUGAUCACGUCGCCCGCCCUAGUCUGCUUUUGUGAAUCUCCACUUUGUUCAACCCCCACCCGCCGUCUCUCCCUCCCUGCGCCUUCCCUCUAACCUUAAAGACCCAGCUACCUCUACGCAAAUGGUAGCUACCUCUGCGCAGGUGGAAGUUGAGUUCGGUUCACGCGGGACCCUCUUCCCUGUGGCAAGCUGCUGAAGGAGACCUGCUGUUACUGCUUUAGCUGCUGUUCUGCUUAAUCUCAGACAGCUGGAAGGUAGUAUUCCGCCCUCGCCCAGCCACCCGAGUAAAUGAGAAUGAUGACUGACUGAGACCCUGAUGGUGGUGGCUUAGGCUUAAUCUCAGACAGCUGGAAGGUUGCUCCGGAUCUCGCCAUCUGGCCUGCGUUCAAUCAGCAGAAGCUUCCUGGAGGAGCAGGAGGAGGCACUGUGCUCGCAUCACAUACCAGUGGCCAGAAGUUGGCUUCAGGGAAGCUCAGGAAAUAGGAUGCGAGAAGCCAUGAGACCUCCCCAAACUCUGCAGUAACAGAGUCAACAAGACAAUGGCUUAAAGAUGGAGAGACCAGUUGAUCGGUCACACAAGCUGUUCCACGAUAAUUCUUGUGUCAGAAGGGGAGGCUGACUACCAGGACCACUGGCCCCACUUCCAGCCCCUCCAUUCUGAGUACACUUCAGAGGGCUCUGGCAGGGUGAGGGGGUCUUGGUGGUGCCACAGAGAGUAAAGGUCUAGCACACCCAUUGUGGAGAUAUUUCAUGGGGACAACCCAGUGACUUCACUUGAAGUAAAGUGGGAUUUUCCAACCUUGAGAUUCUUAUUUUCUUUGGUAUGCGUGUGGAAGAAGUAUGAAGGUGGGGGUUGGGAGGGAGAGCAAAUGAGCUGUGUGUAUGAGGAGCUGGGGCCUGGCUCUUGACAAUAUCACCCACCCCCACCCCAGGCUUUCCUUGGGGCAGAAAGAC